rnacentral:rRNA from 1 species
GUGACUGCGUACCUUUUGUAUAAUGGGUCAGCGACUUAUAUUCUGUAGCAAGGUUAACCGUAUAGGGGAGCCGAAGGGAAACCGAGUCUUAACUGGGCGUUAAGUUGCAGGGUAUAGACCCGAAACCCGGUGAUCUAGCCAUGGGCAGGUUGAAGGUUGGGUAACACUAACUGGAGGACCGAACCGACUAAUGUUGAAAAAUUAGCGGAUGACCUGUGGCUGGGGGUGAAAGGCCAAUCAAACCGGGAGAUAGCUGGUUCUCCCCGAAAGCUAUUUAGGUAGCGCCUCGUGAACUCAUCUUCGGGGGUAGAGCACUGUUUCGGCUAGGGGGCCAUCCCGGCUUACCAACCCGAUGCAAACUACGAAUACCGAAGAAUGUUAUCACGGGAGACACACGGCGGGUGCUAACGUCCGUCGUGAAGAGGGAAACAACCCAGACCGCCAGCUAAGGUCCCAAAGUCAUGGUUAAGUGGGAAACGAUGUGGGAAGGCACAGACAGCCAGGAUGUUGGCUUAGAAGCAGCCAUCAUUUAAAGAAAGCGUAAUAGCUCACUGGUCGAGUCGGCCUGCGCGGAAGAUGUAACGGGGCUAAACCAUGCACCGAAGCUGCGGCAGCGACACUAUGUGUUGUUGGGUAGGGGAGCGUUCUGUAAGCCGUUGAAGGUGUGCUGUGAGGCAUGCUGGAGGUAUCAGAAGUGCGAAUGCUGACAUAAGUAACGAUAAAGCGGGUGAAAAGCCCGCUCGCCGGAAGACCAAGGGUUCCUGUCCAACGUUAAUCGGGGCAGGGUGAGUCGACCCCUAAGGCGAGGCCGAAAGGCGUAGUCGAUGGGAAACAGGUUAAUAUUCCUGUACUUGGUGUUACUGCGAAGGGGGGACGGAGAAGGCUAUGUCAGCCGGGCGACGGUUGUCCCGGUUUAAGCAUGUAGGCGGAGGUUCCAGGUAAAUCCGGUACCUUAUUAACGCUGAGGUGUGAUGACGAGGCACUACGGUGCUGAAGUGAUAAAUGCCCUGCUUCCAGGAAAAGCCUCUAAGCAUCAGGUAACACGAAAUCGUACCCCAAACCGACACAGGUGGUCAGGUAGAGAAUACCAAGGCGCUUGAGAGAACUCGGGUGAAGGAACUAGGCAAAAUGGUGCCGUAACUUCGGGAGAAGGCACGCUGAUAGGUAGGUGAAGCCCCUGCGGGCGGAGCUGAAAUCAGUCGAAGAUACCAGCUGGCUGCAACUGUUUAUUAAAAACACAGCACUGUGCAAACACGAAAGUGGACGUAUACGGUGUGACGCCUGCCCGGUGCCGGAAGGUUAAUUGAUGGGGUUAGCGGCAACGCGAAGCUCUUGAUCGAAGCCCCGGUAAACGGCGGCCGUAACUAUAACGGUCCUAAGGUAGCGAAAUUCCUUGUCGGGUAAGUUCCGACCUGCACGAAUGGCGUAAUGAUGGCCAGGCUGUCUCCACCCGAGACUCAGUGAAAUUGAACUCGCUGUGAAGAUGCAGUGUACCCGCGGCAAGACGGAAAGACCCCGUGAACCUUUACUAUAGCUUGACACUGAACACUGGUCCUUGAUGUGUAGGAUAGGUGGGAGGCUUUGAAGCGUGGACGCCAGUCUGCGUGGAGCCAUCCUUGAAAUACCACCCUUUAAUGGCUGGUGUUCUAACGUAGACCCGUGAUCCGGGUUGCGGACAGUGUCUGGUGGGUAGUUUGACUGGGGCGGUCUCCUCCCAAAGAGUAACGGAGGAGCACGAAGGUUGGCUAAUCCUGGUCGGACAUCAGGAGGUUAGUGCAAUGGCAUAAGCCAGCUUGACUGCGAGCGUGACGGCGCGAGCAGGUGCGAAAGCAGGUCAUAGUGAUCCGGUGGUUCUGAAUGGAAGGGCCAUCGCUCAACGGAUAAAAGGUACUCCGGGGAUAACAGGCUGAUACCGCCCAAGAGUUCAUAUCGACGGCGGUGUUUGGCACCUCGAUGUCGGCUCAUCACAUCCUGGGGCUGAAGUAGGUCCCAAGGGUAUGGCUGUUCGCCAUUUAAAGUGGUACGCGAGCUGGGUUUAGAACGUCGUGAGACAGUUCGGUCCCUAUCUGCCGUGGGCGCUGGAGAAUUGAGGGGGGCUGCUCCUAGUACGAGAGGACCGGAGUGGACGCAUCACUGGUGUUCGGGUUGUCAUGCCAAUGGCACUGCCCGGUAGCUAAAUGCGGAAGAGAUAAGUGCUGAAAGCAUCUAAGCACGAAACUUGCCCCGAGAUGAGUUCUCCCUGAGACUUUAAGUCUCCUGAAGGAACGUUGAAGACGACGACGUUGAUAGGUCGGGUGUGUAAGCGCAGCGAUGCGUUGAGCUAACCGAUACUAAUGAACCGUGAGGCUUAACCUU